rnacentral:lncRNA from 1 species
GUUAGGUGGUAAAAGCAGUGUUUGCCAUAAAAAUCAGGUCGUUGGUUAUUUUGGUGGGGAGGGAGAGGUAGUGUUUGGAAGGGGACACAAGGGAAGGUUUUGGGACGCAUGGUAUACCGGUUGUCAAUGUAUGGCCUCGCACCUCCAAAUCCAUCCUUUAAUACCUGCUCUGUGGGCACAGCCAGAAUCCCCUUCCGCGGCUCCCCUCGCGGCAGGGAGGAUGCUGAACAGUAGAGGGCGCUGGAGACACGCUGCGGGAGGCUGUCGCUCGGGUCCGGCUGCGGGCCACAGGCCGCGGAUCGCGCUCUGCCAGCGCCCCACGCCCGCAAGCGCGGCCCCUCCGCCACCUCGCGGCCCGGCCUGACCUGUUAAUCACGUCCCCACGGCUCUCCUAGCGGGGACACCGCCGUCUGCAGGCUCCGUCCCCACAGUGCCCAGACCCCGGGAAGUUUGUCAGUCAGCACCCUGAUGCCAGCCGAUUCUCAAAAAGCCAGGAGGAUCCAAGCAGAUGAUUUGCCAGACGGUACUGCAGCAAUGGAGAUGAACAGAUAAUUCACACAGAAAGAAGGACGCAGGAUGCUCGAGACUCUUGCAGUAAUUUGGGCAAAGAUUUCCACAGUGCAAAAUAGAAAAAACGUAACUGGCAAAUAGCUGUACAAAUUACAGUCCAUUUUCAUCAUGGAAUGUCAGUUUGGCAACAAUGGCAUCGAGGCCCAAAAGCAGCUCUGCAGUAGGGGGGUUCCUCCUUGGUGACUGGAUGGGCACAGCGAAGCACAAAUUCCUGAAGAUCCCAGCUCCAGGAAACAUCAGCAUGGUUCAUUGCGUUGUCCACCUGAAUUCUUCACCCCUCCCUGUGGCUGUGUCCAUUGCCCUGUAGUGUUGCAGUUCCCCUCAGGAAAAAGAUAUCAUUUACUUCUCUGACCCUUGAUUUGGAGCUUGGCUAUGUGACGUGCUUUGGCCAAUGGGAUAUUGGAUGACAUAACAUAAGGAGAGACACAGAUAUGCAUCUGCACAAUGCAGCUUGCCUUUUUAUGCUUCUGCCUUCACCAUGAAAAGAGCUUUCCCUGGGGGUAGCAGCUGUCCCUGCAGCCUGUGUUCAGAAUGCACAAAUGUGAGGAGCCAAGCCCAGCCAGCUUGAAAGUGAGUUGCCAGGCCCAGCGCAGUGGCUCACACCUGUAAUCCCAGCACUUUGGGAGGCCGAGACAGGCAGAUCACCUGAGGUCCGGAGUUCGAGACGAGCCUGACCAACAUGGAGAAACCCCCGUUUCUACUAAAAAAUACAAAAUUAGGCCUGGCGCAGUGGCUCACGCCUGUAAUCUCAGCACUUUGGGAGGCCGAGGCAGGCGGAUUACCUGAGGUCGGGAGUUCGAGAUCAGCCUGGCCAACAUGGAGAAACCCCGUUUCUACUAAAAAUACAAAAGUAGCCGGGCGUGGUGGCACAUGCCUGUAAUCCCAGCUACUUGGGAGGCUGAGGCAGGAGAAUCGCUUGAACCUGGGAGGCAGAGGUUGCGGUGAGCCGAGAUCACGCCAUUGCACUCCAGCCUGGGCAACAAGAGCAAAACUCCGUUGAAAGAAAGAAAGGAAAGAAAGGAAGGAAGGCAGACAAAAUUAGCCGGGCGUGGUAGCGCAUGCCUGUAAUCCCAGCUACUCAGGAGACUGAGGCAGGAGAAUCACUUGAACCUGGGAGGCGGAGGUUGCAGUGAGCUGAGAUGGCGCCACUGCACUCCAGCCUGGGCAACAAGAGUGAAACCCUAAAAAAAAAAAAAAAAGUGAGUUGCCUACCCUAGCUCAGACCACCUCCAGCCAACCCACAGAUGUGUUAGAAAUGAGUGCUUAUUUAAGUAUGGCAUUGACAUGUUGUGAUUAGUUGUUAUGCACCAUUAUAGCAAAAAAAUUGCACACUGAUAAAAGUAACUGUUCCCUCGUUGGCUUCACCAGCUUUCCCAAGAAUUGUUUAAUCCCAUUCCCUGUAUAAAAUCACUCUCUGCUGAGAAUCCUUUUUCUGAGAAAAGAAUUCUGAGAAUUUUUUUUCUGCUUGAGGCAGACCAACACUCAUUCCAAGAACAACUGGAAAGGCUGAAUAAAACACAGAAAACUUUUUUAAAAAGUUUUUGGAAAGCUUCCCAGUUAACAAACAUUUGAAGGGUCAUAAUCUCAAAAGAAGAAAAACACAAGGAGGCAAGCUGGCCCUCUGUGAACUACUUUUCCCUUCAGGAAACGUGCUGAUUUUAGCUAAGAGGCCGAGCAUUUGGGCAGACGGCCAUAGCUAAGAGGCAGCAAAGGCAGCAGAGUCGUCUUCAGCUGGAGAGACAAGAAAUGGAGACUGAGGUUGUCAAGGCAGCUGGAACUGAAGGGGCCGAGAUAUCAUGUAGAAGGGAGACACAGAAAAGGAACACUUUCCCCUUGAGGCAUCUGCUGAGUUAAGCUAUGCAGAAAGGCUAUGAAAAGCAGCAGGUUUUGGCAGUGUCAUAUUAAUGAGAUAAAAGUUGGAGUUCAGGACCCACCAAGGAAAAGAAGCCUAAUAAUCACAUCAGACACUCAGUUGGAAUCCUUGGAGGACCACACUCUAGAUAGACGGGCAAACCAGAGAUGGAGAUGAAGCCUUCCAAAAACUGCAACAUAGACUCUAGUCAGUUCGGUACCAUUGGAUUAAGGUAAAAUCUUCCCACUCUGUCUAUCAGAUGACAUGGUAAACCCUCCCUUGAGACAGACAUUGUUUUCAGAUCAUGUUUCCUGGAGCCACUAAAAUUUAUUAUAAUGGUUAGCAUUCAACAAUAAGUGAUCAAACACACCACAAAACAGGAAGGAGGGGAAAACAGACACAACAAAACGGAGCCACUAAUGACCCAGAUAUUGGUGUUAUCAGACACAGACUUGAUGGGUGGAAUAGAGACUUUCAUCAAAGAACUGGAAUCUAUAAGAAAGAAUGAAAUGGAAAUUUAAAACUUAAAAAUACAAUAAUUGAAAUUAACUACUUAGCAUAUGGGUUAACUACAAUUAGAUUUAGCAGAAGGAACAUUCUUUGAACUGUAAUAUAGGACAGAAUAAAAACUCUAAGCUGAAGAACAGAGACAAAGAGUAUGGAAAAUACAGCAAAGAACAUAAGAUACUUGUGGGAGGUGGUGAACAGGCCUAACACAUAUGUAACUGGAGUCUUAGAAGGGAGGAAGAUGGGGCAGAAGGAACAGUUAAAUAAAUAUAGCCUGAGAACUUUCCAAAACUGAUAAAGCUUUAUGAUCCCCAAGCAGGAUAAAUAAAAACAAAACUGCAUCCAG